GGAGGAUUCGUUUCCAAUCGAAUUUGGUUUUCUAACAGAAGAGGAGCUGCCAUCAUGAAGCCAAUUAGCUGAGUUAUUGGAGAAGCUUAAAAACAAAACAAAACAAAAAACCCGAAGUCCUUAUCUAAACCAACACAUUACAGAGCUCCAAAACAGAGGUCAAACAUUAAAAGGCUGAUAUAGGCUCAAGUGGUUUAUAAAACCUAUAAAAAAAGACUACACCAGCAAAUAUGCCCUUCAGUCCGCACAGUUUAGAAAUGAAUGCAGGGAGCAACACUCGCUAGCUGGAAAUCUUGCCAUGGGAGAACCACACGUAUACCACCAACAGGAGUACCCCAAAUCAAACGUUAAAAGGCUCCAAUUCCCAAUCUAUAAGAGGAGACAAACGCAUCAGAAGAUUGCAUCAAAUCCAAGGAAUCAUAAUUGGUUGGGCAGUUCAAACUUCCCCCACCAAUGCCACGUCUCUCACAUACACAGGCUCAACAUGUACACGGCUCAAUCCCAGUCAAAUUCCUCAUGGAAUAAAAGGAUCCCAGGCUCUAUAGAGUCUUUCCCUAUCAUGCAAGAAAUAUGUCUGGCUGUGCUCUAAUUACCAUCAUGUAUCACUUCAGCCACAGAGUACCAGGCAGAUUAAGUAGAAAUGCACAGUUUUUAGCUCAUCAUCUCUGCACAAGUGUUGGAGAGGCUGAGUUCCUGGAGAGGUCUGGGUGGGCACACAGACAAGUCUCUUCAUGCAGAUUCACUGGCUUCCACUGGCUUGAUCAUGUGGUCCGGUUUGUUGCCAGCAGCAUAGUGAUCCCACAUCUGAAGAUAAAGGCGCUCCAGGUCCAUUGUGUACUGCUUGGUGUUGAACAAAGGACUGGAUAUUCUCUGCUUCCAGACUUUGCCACGUAUUUUUUUCAGGUAUUCCAGAUCAGUUCCCAGUUUCACAGCAAUGUCCUCAUAUUCCUGCCUACUUUUUGCAAUAAGCUCAAGACAACCAAGGCAAGUAAGCUGGGAGGCAGCAACUCGUGAAGCAAGCGUUUCACCUGGCAUAGUGACCAUAGGAGUCCCAGCCCAGAGCACAUCCAUCCCCGUUGUGUGCCCAUUGCAAAGUGGAGUGUCUAGACAAACAUCAGCCAGCUGCCCUCUCCUCACGUGUUCUUCCUUGGGGGCAACAGGAGAAAAGAUGAUUCUAUUCUGGGAAAGACCCAAGUUCUGGGCAUACUGCUGAAUAUUGGGUUCUCCUACAGCUGGGAAACGCAGCAGCCACAGCACACUGUUUGGAACUCUUUUUAGGAUAUUAGCCCACAUCUGCAGCGUGGAAGGGUCAAUCUUAUACAGCUGAUUGAAGUUGCAGUAUACAACAGCAUCUUCUGGUAAGCCAUACUGAGAGCGGGUGGUAACGAUGAUGGUUCGUGGAACUUCUUCUCCAGUUGCUGCUUUGUUGUUAAUCUGAGUAGUUGCUAGUCCAUUACUAAUGUUGAAUCCAUUGAUGGUUAUCUGAAUUUGUCCACGAUUAAUCAUCUCAAUCACAGCUUCUGCAAUUGUGUUCAUAGGAAUGACUGGCAUACUGAGGGCAGCAUUGCUGUCUGCACUGUCUCCACUAUCAGGGCACUUCAUCUUAACUAUCUUGACAUCGGGGAGGCUGUCCAAGAAAGCCUUCAAGUCAAUGCCAUUCAAAACAAUUCUGUUAUCAUAAAUGUGACCAUUGGAUUUGAAAUCAAUGACUGCUUUUUUCUUUAGAUGGGGGAACAUGUUGGCGUGGUCUCCAAUAAAGAAAGUGUUUGGCAUGUAAGCUAAUUUCUCUGAAUACUGCUCAGCCACCUCAACUGGAGAAGUUUCUUUAUCUGUGAUGAUGUAAUCCAUGAACAAUGCCCCACUGGUUCCAGGAUACCCUAACCACAUUGCCUGAAUAGGUGCUGGUCUCAGGGCAAAUAACUCAUUCCGGGCUCCCUUGGUAUAGCCAUUCAUGUUAAUCAGAAUGUGUAUCCCAUCCUGAUGGAUGCGGUCUGCUGCUUUCCCAUUACAUGGUAUCUGAGAUAAGUCAACAAAGUGAUUCGCUUCCGCCAUCACUUUCACACGGAAGUUCGUACCAUCAUCAGGGCUCAGGGCAUAACAGAAUACCUCAAAUUUGUCUGGGUUAUGCAUGCCGGGGAUUGACUGCAUUAGGUGUGAUGUUGGAUGGUUUCCAAAAUCAGAGCUCACAUAACCAAUGCGAAGUCGACCUUCACUGGCCUUCAAAUCCUUUGGAUGCUCAUACGGCG
rnacentral:lncRNA from 1 species